rnacentral:rRNA from 1 species
UGAGUAACCUGCCCUUAACUCUGGGAUAAGCCUGGGAAACUGGGUCUAAUACCGGAUAUGAGUCCGAGCGGCAUCACGCGGACUGGAAAGUUUUUCGGCUAAGGAUGGGCUCGCGGCCUAUCAGCUUGUUGGUGAGGUAAUGGCUCACCAAGGCAACGACGGGUAGCCGGCCUGAGAGGGUGUCCGGCCACACUGGGACUGAGAUACGGCCCAGACUCCUACGGGAGGCAG